UCCUGGUUAGCUCAGUUAUUAGAGCGCUCCACUCAAAAUCGAGAGGUCCCUGGUUCGAUACCAGGACAAGGCG
rfam:Ixodes scapularis strain Wikel colony gcontig_1108379738170, whole genome shotgun sequence.